rnacentral:rRNA from 1 species
UGGGGAAUUUUGGACAAUGGGGGAAACCCUGAUCCAGCCAUCCCGCGUGCGCGAUGAAGGCCUUCGGGUUGUAAAGCACUUUUUGCAGGAAAGAAACGUCAUGGGUUAAUACCCCGUGAAACUGACGGUACCUGCAGAAUAAGCACCGGCUAACUACGUGCCAGCAGCCGCGGUAAUACGUAGGGUGCAAGCGUUAAUCGGAAUUACUGGGCGUAAAGCGUGCGCAGGCGGUUCGGAAAGAAAGAUGUGAAAUCCCAGAGCUCAACUUUGGAACUGCAUUUUUAACUGCCGGGCUAGAGUGUGUCAGAGGGAGGUGGAAUUCCGCGUGUAGCAGUGAAAUGCGUAGAUAUGCGGAGGAACACCGAUGGCGAAGGCAGCCUCCUGGGAUAACACUGACGCUCAUGAACGAAAGCGUGGGGAGCAAACAGG